rnacentral:tRNA from 1 species
UGCGGGAGUGCUGGAAUUGGCAGACAGGCUAGACUAAGGAUCUAGUGCUGGAAACGGCGUGUGGGUUCAAGUCCCAUCUCCCGCAUC